CUUUUACAAUGAAGAGUUUGAUCCUGGCUCAGGAUGAACGCUAGCUACAGGCUUAACACAUGCAAGUCGAGGGGCAUCAGGAAGAAAGCUUGCUUUCUUUGCUGGCGACCGGCGCACGGGUGAGUAACACGUAUCCAACCUGCCCUUUACUCGGGGAUAGCCUUUCGAAAGAAAGAUUAAUACCCGAUAGCAUAAUGAUUCCGCAUGGUUUCAUUAUUAAAGGAUUCCGGUAAAGGAUGGGGAUGCGUUCCAUUAGGUUGUUGGUGAGGUAACGGCUCACCAAGCCUUCGAUGGAUAGGGGUUCUGAGAGGAAGGUCCCCCACAUUGGAACUGAGACACGGUCCAAACUCCUACGGGAGGCAGCAGUGAGGAAUAUUGGUCAAUGGGCGCUAGCCUGAACCAGCCAAGUAGCGUGAAGGAUGAAGGCUCUAUGGGUCGUAAACUUCUUUUAUAUAAGAAUAAAGUGCAGUAUGUAUACUGUUUUGUAUGUAUUAUAUGAAUAAGGAUCGGCUAACUCCGUGCCAGCAGCCGCGGUAAUACGGAGGAUCCGAGCGUUAUCCGGAUUUAUUGGGUUUAAAGGGAGCGUAGGUGGACUGGUAAGUCAGUUGUGAAAGUUUGCGGCUCAACCGUAAAAUUGCAGUUGAUACUGUCAGUCUUGAGUACAGUAGAGGUGGGCGGAAUUCGUGGUGUAGCGGUGAAAUGCUUAGAUAUCACGAAGAACUCCGAUUGCGAAGGCAGCUCACUGGACUGCAACUGACACUGAUGCUCGAAAGUGUGGGUAUCAAACAGGAUUAGAUACCCUGGUAGUCCACACAGUAAACGAUGAAUACUCGCUGUUUGCGAUAUACAGUAAGCGGCCAAGCGAAAGCAUUAAGUAUUCCACCUGGGGAGUACGCCGGCAACGGUGAAACUCAAAGGAAUUGACGGGGGCCCGCACAAGCGGAGGAACAUGUGGUUUAAUUCGAUGAUACGCGAGGAACCUUACCCGGGCUUAAAUUGCAGUGGAAUGAUGUGGAAACAUGUCAGUGAGCAAUCACCGCUGUGAAGGUGCUGCAUGGUUGUCGUCAGCUCGUGCCGUGAGGUGUCGGCUUAAGUGCCAUAACGAGCGCAACCCUUAUCUUUAGUUACUAACAGGUUAUGCUGAGGACUCUAGAGAGACUGCCGUCGUAAGAUGUGAGGAAGGUGGGGAUGACGUCAAAUCAGCACGGCCCUUACGUCCGGGGCUACACACGUGUUACAAUGGGGGGUACAGAAGGCAGCUAGCGGGUGACCGUAUGCUAAUCCCAAAAGCCUCUCUCAGUUCGGAUCGAAGUCUGCAACCCGACUUCGUGAAGCUGGAUUCGCUAGUAAUCGCGCAUCAGCCACGGCGCGGUGAAUACGUUCCCGGGCCUUGUACACACCGCCCGUCAAGCCAUGGGAGCCGGGGGUACCUGAAGUACGUAACCGCAAGGAUCGUCCUAGGGUAAAACUGGUGACUGGGGCUAAGUCGUAACAAGGUAGCCGUACCGGAAGGUGCGGCUGGAACACCUCCUUUCU
rnacentral:rRNA from 1 species